UGUACUAUAAUUUCACACCUUCAAAUUAAUCACUUUUUAUUGAUAAAACGAUAGAAGAGUCUAAAAUAAUGAUAACUUCCAAAAGUACCUCAUUGUCAGUUUUCCAAUAUUCAAAAAUUUUGUUUCGUGCUGUUUUUCUUGAAUUUCAAGUGUCCAUUUGGAAAGUAACGGACCGUAGGUCAGAGGAUUAACCUGGUCGGUAAUAUGCAUAAUUUUCCAGUUUCUUUCACGCCAAUUUAAGCUGACGAUUUUUCCUAGAAUCGCUGAUCAAUUUCGUUCGCGAUUUCAAGCGAAUCGAGAUCAAUCCAUCGAAAUGAGAUCCUUCCGAUCGUUACAUCGAUUUUUCUCGUAUUCCUCGAUUAUAUCGUCGGUUUCCUAGUUUCGCUUCGAUAUGUAGGAUCGAGGAAUCGAUUGUCGCUAGCGAGUGAGCGGCUCACAAAAAUGCGUUUGACACACUGCCUUGAAUUCCUGGCCGAGUGUCCGUUUUGGGAAUUCAGUAUUCUUUCAACUUAUUCAUUUUUUUUCUCUCGUGAAUCUGACAAGUGUUUUAUGAGAAAUUUUUGUUUGAAUGUAUUUUAUGUUUACAAUGGUUGCAUUAGUAGUGAGGUCAUUAGGGACUACGGUAUUAAUGAGGGGCCAGUCGAAAAGAGUCGUUUUAUUUAAAAAAAAGAAAAGGCAAGUUGAAUAAAUAAAACAAAAUAAAAUUACAAAGCUUUUAUAAUAAAUAAAAGUUAAUGAAAUAAUACCUUUUUUUAAGUAUCCAAUAUCUACUAGCAUUUUUCUCUAUAAAUGUUCUAUUUUGUAAAAUGUAGAACAGAAUCCUGUUUAUUUCAAUAAUGAUACAUCUGUGUGUUCUAAAACGAUAAAAACAGUUAUUGUAGAGUAAACAAUGGACAGAUUUGAUUAGCAUCUAUGAAAACUUUCGGAUAUUAUCAGUGAAUCAAGAAAUCGAAAGCUACAACAAUCAUCUAUAGAUAGAAACUGAGAAGAUUGGCUUGGGUGCACUACUACAAUACUAUGGUCGAAAGGUUAAGUGACCAUUGGUAAUUCUAUUGUAGGGAGCUCAGAGAAUUUCUUAUGAGUGAGAGUUGCUGAGAAGCAAGGAGUUAUCAUUUUUAUAAGAUCAGUUUGGACAAUCACUGACUGUAUGAUCAUUAAAUCUCUUAAAAUCAACAUUUCUUCUUCUAGUCACAAUAUUUAUACUAUUACACUAUUUUAUCUUUCAUAGUAGAAAUAUUAUAGAAUUUUACAAUUUAACAAGCAGGAACACUAUUCUAAGGAGAAAACUAUGCGUUGUCAGUUAUAUUGAAUAGAAACUACAGAACACAUACAGUGCGUCGCUUAUUAGAUUACAUAAGUAACGUAAGAUGCAGGCGAUGCAUCGUCAGACUGCAUAAGUAAUAUAAGAUACGUGCAAUGCAUCAUUGAUUACAGUGUAUAGGUAACAUUUGACGCAUGUGGUGCGUCAUUGGGUAUAUUGCAUAGCACCGCAAAGAUAGCAUAGAACGUCCAUACUGCAUCAUGAGUUAUAUUCCAGUAACACUGUAUAAAUUAUAGGACGCAUAUGUUGCGUCAUGGGUUAUAUGGCAUAGCAUUGCGUAGGUGGUAUAGGAUGCAUACGAUGGGUCAUCGAUUAUAUUGAAUAGCAAGUACUUAUAUGCUAUGCAAUACGUACAAUGCAUUGUUAAUCACAUUGAAUAGAUAAUAUCAGAUGCACGUUGUACGUCAUUGGUUUAUAUUCUGUGUAUACUAUACAGUGUACAGGAUUCCACAGGACAUUUACGUGGGAAAAUUUGAUUUAAUAUUUAAAUAAUUAAAAAUUAUAUAAUUUUUUUUUCUAAAUUACUAUUAGUAUUAAUUGGGGAAUUUUUGCUUCCCCAAUAUCACAUUUUCGGUAAGGAAGCCUACUUUGAUCGCGAGUAUACGUGCUAGAAUCAUCGGUCCAAGGGGUUAAAAUCUAGAACAGAAUAAGCACAAUUUUAACAUACGAAUAAAUACUCGUGUGAAGGAGCGAAAGACUUGGCGAGUAAUCAUUGAAACCGUGGCAACAGAUUUAUUCAUAUAAUCAGCUUCAGAAUGAAAUUCUCGUGUCGUUCUCACGCGGUGUUAGAGUCUCUUUAAUUAUACCAGUUAUAUUAGUUCUCUUUUUACCCGGUAUCGCAAUGCUCUGCAGGAGAGAACUUCCGGAAGCGCGUCCAUUCCCAAAGCAACAACGACGCGUUGGAAAAAAAAAAAAAGAAUAAAAAAUAUUCGGCAAAAAGAUUCGAAAGAAUGUUCCCGUCUAGUUGAGAGAAGUCGUCGUUUCCCGUGUUUAUCGCAUUCUCGUUUGGUACAAAGCACGGGACAACUUUUCCCUUAAUUAAAAUACGAGGAAAGUUGAAAUGGUUUAUUUCGCUGUGUCAACGGCAGCCUUUCGUGAUUAGAGCACGGGAAAGUGUAGAUCGUUUUUUUAACACUCUCAGUGCCACGCUAAAAUCGUAGAAAAUCUAAAUUCUAAUUAAGCUUUUUCAGUUGGACAAACUUUCAAGUGUUUAGCAUAAUUACUUCUAAUUAGCUAAUUAUUUAAAAGAAACAACAGAUAUUUAUAAAAAUUUAUAUAUUAUUAAAAAAUAAUACAAUACUUAAAGUGUUGAACAUUGAAAAAUAGGGUCAAUUUGACCCAUAGCAAUUCUAUUUCUUAAUUUAAAGAAUUAAAAAAUUUCAUAUUAUAUUAUUUAAUGUAAUCAAUUUGCAGCAAGAUGCAAUGAAGGGUUAAUAUGUUAAUUAUUAGAUGUACAAAUUCAUCUGAUGAAUUUAGUAUUAUGCCUUCUUAAUUAUUAUAUUAAAUUUGAAUAAUCAAUUUUUCAAUUAACAAUUUAAAAACGUGUAUAUAUUAAACAUAUUUCACUCUUGUCAGAACAAUAUUCUGGAUGAAAUUCCAUAAUAUUAUGCUUUUAUUCUAUGGAUACGCCAUAUAAAAGAGCGAUCACUUGUUUUUACGUAAGACACAUUGCACGUGAAUCUGACAGGCAUGAAAAUGAUCGGUGAGGCAUGACGAAACGACACGAGACCACUGAAAAAGUGUAUUUAAUUGUGAGCACAAAACACAACAGCGAGAAGUGUCGAAUAAUCAAAGUGUCGAGCAUUGAAAGAGGAAAAAGAAUCGAACCCAUUAGAGAGCAGUAGUAAUUUACUUCCUGCCCGGAGAGAAAUUUAUGUUAAUCGAUCUCGAGCGAUUGGCAUUGAUCGCUACACAACUGACCCGAAGUUUCAGUUAUUAAUGGUAUCGAUGACGAGUGAUUUAUUAUCAAAGAAAAUGAUGAAGUCAAGAAACAGGGCAAAAAGUGCUUCAUUUUUAUCUGGUUCCAUUGACUAGCACUGACUUGCAAUUUGUUGUGACUAGCUUAAGUGUUUGUACCCCUAUUAAUUAUUAAUCAGUCGUGCAUGAUAGUUUUUUGAAAGAAAUGUUACGAGAAUGUGUACUGCAUUCACUAAGCUUUCAUUAUAUUAAUAGCAUUUAAAAAUUAGACCCUUUUUAACCCUUAAACAGCAGAAUCUGGGUCAAUCGAGACCCAAACUUACAAAACAUGUACAAGGAUAUUAAUUAUUUAUGAAAUAUCAGUCUUUCAAGAUUAAUAUCAUAUUAUUAAUAUAACAUUAGUAAAAAAGUCCUAUUAAACGUAUCUCUAAUAAGUGAUCCAAACAUUCUUCCUGCAUUUAUGAUUAUGUGAAUAUAAAAUAAAAUUCAGUAAAGCAUACAUAUGUAAGUCCACUUCCGGUGCUGAGAACGGAAGUUACGGAGAACUGUCAGUGAUCAGUGCAAACAGAGGAAACUCAAUCGGCGAGAGUUUAUCCAUCGGUUGCUUUUUAACCACAACACUUUCCAGCCCUUCUCUGCUACUUGGAUUUCAGACUAAAGGAACGAAUAGUUGACCACGAAAAUUCUUCAGCUCUACAAUUGAUAUACAUUGAUAACUACACAAAUAUAUUUCAGCAACAUUAUAAUCAUAAUUAAAAUAAGUACACUUUUUAUUUUGAAUGAUCUAAAAUUAGUUCAAUAAAAUUAAACAAUAAUUCAUGAUUCCUCAAUAUCAAUUACAUUUCUGUAAUUGAUUAUUUAACAUUAUCGCGAUAAUUAUAAUCAUUAAUCAAUUAAUUAUCAUCGAGAUAAAUCAGUAAUCAUAAAUCUUUUUUUCUUGUGAUAUCGUUUAGAUGCGAAUGGUGUGGUCUCAAUUUCCCCUAGGGAAACCUAUCUUCCUCGAUACUGUACUUAUAAUACGAUGAUAGAAUCUAUCAUUGCACUGAUCAAUGCGUAAUCAAUCAUUAUGUGCUCACACCGCCAAUAUUCAGCAUAGAAUUUUCUCCUGUAAAAAUCUAUGUCUUGUCUGUUGCCGGUACUGUUAGGGGUCAGGUGUCAUUUCUCAUGAUAUAGACGGAUGUCAGUGACAUAUGGAUACAUCCCAAUCAGUCCGUGUAUUUAUUGUGAGGGUGAUUUGCGAUUGCUUUGUGAAAUGCAACUAUUCUUGUAACGUAUAGAUACAAUAAUGUGUGAUUCAAUUUCAAUACGAAUGAAUUUAUACGGAACAUCUAUGCGUAUAGUCAUUUGUAGUAAUAGAUUAUAUGAAUUUCUAUUUCUAAAGAAGGAAUUUAUGAUUUAUGGUCGAAAUUUUAUAAAUGGACAGAAUCUUUUUUAAUUAGAAACAUUCGUAUUUGAUUAAUUCGAUCCAGUUUAAUAAGUUAAUUAACUAAUUUCUUUCUAAGCUAAUCAACUUUAUAUUUGUUUUUAUAUCAUAAACUCGCGUCAGACUUUAUACCAGCCGUUUAAUACUGGAUAACUUAGCAAUAAAUCAUGUUUAUCUAAAUCUUUAGAGAUCUAUCUGCGUCUGUUGCACAACAAACAUUAUGGCAAUAGGACUAACUAGUCCAUCGUCACCAAAAUCAAGUGGGAGUAUUGUCGAGGUAGUUUGAAAUAAUUUUCUAUCAAAUAACACUGGUGAUGCAAUAAAUUACUGUGACGGAAGUGAACGCUGCACUCGCUUGACUUCUGAACAACAGCCGUGAGUCAUGCACCUUCCUGUGUGGGUAGCAUUGAGCCUAGCGACUAUUACAAUAUUUAAGAAAAAAAAAAAAAGAAAA